CAUCACAUCGCCAACGCUUUGGUCCAAUUUCGAUACAACGGCUAGUGCUAAAUAUCUGUUUACAUUGCGCUCGCUAUUUUGAAUUGUUUAAAAGAGCAGAUCCGUGGAGGUACGUUGUGAACGCUGUUAUUUGAAAAUGUUGAAAAACGAUAAAGUUAACACUGCGCACGUGCGACGCGAAUUCGCGUCUUUCAUUUUUCAACUGUUGGCGAUGAGAGUAUCCUCUAAAAAUGUUAACUACACACUUGAAUAAUACGAAAUCGUUAUCAAUAUAUUAGAUAUAAUAUUGGCUGUGUAGCGGCACUCGACAGUAAACUUUCCAACAGUUUAUGUGGCGUGACGCACGACACAAAGACCUUAUAUCUGCGGACAAGAUGAUUGCCAGAUGUCGAUACACCUAAGCACACAGAACAAAAUUAGCCUCUACAAGACCGUAAUAAAACCUGUCUGGACCUACGGAAUCCAACUAUGUGGAACAGCAAGUAACUCCAACAUUGAAAUACUUCAACGCUUCCAAUCGAAAACGCUAAGAUCCCUAAUUGAUGCACCUUGGUAUGUAACCAAUGAAACAAUACACCGCGACCUCAAGAUACCCACAGUCAAAGAGGAAAUAGCAAAAUAUAGCGACAGAUAUAGCAAAAGAGUCAACAAACACCGAAACCCCCUAAUCACUGGACUACUUGAUACGACGGACCAGAUUCGCAGGCUGAAGAGGCACUACCCGCUAGACCUAAACGCUAGAUUCAAUUAGUUAUCUAAAUUAAGUAAUAUUUACUUAUUUAUAAUACUUAUAAAUUAUACUUAUCUAUAAUAAGUAUUAACUUAUUAUAAAUAAUCAGCCAUUUCACUGCGCCACGCCAGAAAAAUUACUGAAAAUUCUCAACGCGAGAAUUGAUUGUAAUUUUAAUAAAUAAAUAAAUAAAUAAAUAAAAAAA